rnacentral:rRNA from 1 species
UACGGGGGGGGCAAGCGUUGUUCGGAAUUACUGGGCGUAAAGGGCUCGUAGGUGGCCAACUAAGUCAGACGUGAAAUCCCUCAGCUUAACUGGGGAACUGCGUCUGAUACUAGAUGGCUUGAGAUUGGGAGAGGGAUGCGGAAUUCCAGGUGUAGCGGUGAAAUGCGUAGAUAUCUGGAGGAACACCGGUGGCGAAGGCGGCAUCCUGGACCAACACUGACACUGAGGAGCGAAAGCCAGGGGAGCAAACGGG